rnacentral:rRNA from 1 species
UAAUACGUAGGGGGCAAGCGUUAUCCGGAAUUAUUGGGCGUAAAGAGUGCGUAGGUGGUUUUGUAAGCGCGGGGUGAAAGGCUAUGGCUUAACCAUAGUAAGCCUUGCGAACUGUGAGACUUGAGUGCAGGAGAGGAAAGCGGAAUUCCUAGUGUAGCGGUGAAAUGCGUAGAUAUUAGGAGGAACACCAGUGGCGAAGGCGGCUUUCUGGACUGUAACUGACACUGAGGCACGAAAGCGUGGGGAGCAAACAGG